GCUUCGGUGGCUUAGUUGGUUAAAGCACCUGUCUAGUAAACAGGAGAUCCUGGGUUCGAAUUCCAGUGGUGCCUCUGGAGCG